CCUACGGGGGGCAGCAGUGAGGAAUAUUGGUCAAUGGCCGGAAGGCUGAACCAGCCAUGCCGCGUGAAGGGCAGGGGCCUAGGGGCGUUAAACUUCUUUUGUGCGGGAGCAAAAAUGGUCACGUGUGGCCAGACGAGAGUACCGUACGAAUAAGCAUCGGCGAACUCCGUGCCAGCAGCCGCGGUAAUACGGGGGAUGCAAGCGUUAUCCGGAUUUAUUGGGUUUAAAGGGGGCGUAGGCUGUGAGGUAAGUCAGCGGUGAAAUGCCCCCGCUCAACGGGGUGAAGUGCCAUUGAUACUGCCUUCCUGAGAUGCGGAUGCCGUGGGGGAAGUGUGUGGUGUGGCGGUAAACU
rnacentral:rRNA from 1 species